GACGAACGCUGGCGGCGUGCUUAACACAUGCAAGUCGAACGGUGAAGCGCCUUCCUUUUUGGUGGGUGUGGAUGAGUGGCGAACGGGUGAGUAACACGUGAGUAACCUGCCCCCUUCUUCUGGAUAACCGCAUGAAAGUGUGGCUAAUACGGGAUAUUCUGGGUCUGUCGCAUGAUGGGUCUGGGAAAGAUAUUGUUUCGGUGGGGGAUGGGCUCGCGGCCUAUCAGCUUGUUGGUGGGGUGAUGGCCUACCAAGGCGGUGACGGGUAGCCGGCCUGAGAGGGUGGACGGUCACACUGGGGCUGAGCCACGGCCCAGACUCCUACGGGAGGCAGCAGUGGAGUAUAUUGCACAAUGGGCGCAAGCCUGAUGCAGCGACGCCGCGUGAGGGAUGGAGGCCUUCGGGUUGUGAACCUCUUUCGCCAGUGAAGCAGGCCUGCCUCGUUUGUGGGUGGGUUGACGGUAGCUGGAUAAGAAGCGCCGGCUAACUACGUG
rnacentral:rRNA from 1 species